rnacentral:rRNA from 1 species
UACACGAGCGGCGAACGGGUGAGUAACACGUGGGUGAUCUGCCUCGCACUCUGGGAUAAGCCUGGGAAACUGGGUCUAAUACCGGAUAUGACCACGGAUCGCAUGGUUUGUGGUGGAAAGAUUUAUCGGUGCGAGAUGGGCCCGCGGCCUAUCAGCUUGUUGGUGGGGUAAUGGCCUACCAAGGCGACGACGGGUAGCCGACCUGAGAGGGUGACCGGCCACACUGGGACUGAGACACGGCCCAGACUCCUACGGGAGGCAGCAGUGGGGAAUAUUGCACAAUGGGCGAAAGCCUGAUGCAGCGACGCCGCGUGAGGGAUGACGGCCUUCGGGUUGUAAACCUCUUUCGACAGGGACGAAGCGCAAGUGACGGUACCUGUAGAAGAAGCACCGGCCAACUACGUGCCAGCAGCCGCGGUAAUACGUAGGGUGCGAGCGUUGUCCGGAAUUACUGGGCGUAAAGAGCUUGUAGGCGGUUCGUCGCGUCGAUUGUGAAAACUUGCAGCUCAACUGCAAGCUUGCAGUCGAUACGGGCGGACUAGAGUACUUCAGGGGAGACUGGAAUUCCUGGUGUAGCGGUGAAAUGCGCAGAUAUCAGGAGGAACACCGGUGGCGAAGGCGGGUCUCUGGGAAGUAACUGACGCUUAGAAGCGAAAGCGUGGGUAGCGAACAGGAUUAGAUACCCUGGUAGUCCACGCCGUAAACGGUGGGUACUAGGUGUGGGUUUCCUUCCACGGGAUCCGUGCCGUAGCUAACGCAUUAAGUACCCCGCCUGGGGAGUACGGCCGCAAGGCUAAAACUCAAAGGAAUUGACGGGGGCCCGCACAAGCGGCGGAGCAUGUGGAUUAAUUCGAUGCAACGCGAAGAACCUCACCUGGGUUUGACAUACACCAGAAAGCCGUAGAGAUACGGCCCCCCUUGUGGUUGGUGUACAGGUGGUGCAUGGCCGUCGUCAGCUCGUGUCGUGAGAUGUUGGGUUAAGUCCCGCAACGAGCGCAACCCUUAUUUUAUGUUGCCAGCGCGUAAUGGCGGGGACUCGUGAGAGACUGCCGGGGUCAACUCGGAGGAAGGUGGGGACGACGUCAAGUCAUCAUGCCCCUUAUGUCCAGGGCUUCACACAUGCUACAAUGGCCGGUACAGAGGGCUGCGAUACCGUGAGGUGGAGCGAAUCCCUUAAAGCCGGUCUCAGUUCGGAUCGGGGUCUGCAACUCGACCCCGUGAAGUUGGAGUCGCUAGUAAUCGCAGAUCAGCAACGCUGCGGUGAAUACGUUCCCGGGCCUUGUACACACCGCCCGUCACGUCAUGAAAGUCGGUAACACCCGAAGCCGGU